CAAAAUUAUGGCAUAUGAAAAACAAAGUAUAAUAUGAAAUGGAGUAGCUAAACAAGAUGCUAAUCUAUGAUUCUUGAAACAGAGAGCAUAUUGGAAGAAUGGUUCCAAUUUUGAAACCAGGUUGGAUUGAAAAUAUCUUCUAUCUAGGAAAGGCCCCAAAUAGUUAAGCACUUGACCUAACCUACUCUCAUCAGUGAGGAAGAAUCCAUGAUAAAUGUUAGAAAACUAAGAGCAAGUUUAUCUCCAUUUCAUGGCAGUUUCCAAUGCAGUUUCAAUAAUUACUAUUUUGUGUUGGUACUAAUAAUAAGAUCUCAGCGGGCUUGGUACUGAGAUAUCUCACACUACUACGUGUUUUACAAUAUCACCGACAAAUAAAUCAUAUUUGUAGAAUAAUAUAUGUUUUAUUUAAAUAGAAAUUUUUCUAUGUUUCCUCAGUUUUUUUUAAAAUUUCCUUUAUUUUUAGUGAUUUUAAAAUAUUUUUUAGAUUUAUUUUUUAUACUUUCAGAUUUAACGCAUAUAAUCAUUUGGGCUUGUGCUUAAAGACAAAUACCAAAAUCACUUCUGAAAAAAGAUAAGCAUAUGUCUUCGACAACAGUUCUAAAUGGUUAU
rnacentral:lncRNA from 1 species